rnacentral:rRNA from 1 species
UACGUAGGGGGCAAGCGUUGUCCGGAUUUAUUGGGCGUAAAGCGCGUGUAGGCGGCCAGAUAGGUCUGCUGUGAAAACUCGAGGCUCAACCUCGAGCUGUCGGCGGAAACCAUCUGGCUAGAGUCCGGAAGAGGAGAGUGGAAUUCCUGGUGUAGGGGUGAAAUCCGUAAAUAUACGAAGGAACGCCAAAAGCGAAGGCAGCUCUCUGGGUCCCUACCGACGCUGGGGUGCGAAAGCAUGGGGAGCGAACAGG